rnacentral:rRNA from 1 species
CGUGCGUUGGAUUAAUGUGAAUUGCAGGACACAUCGAGCAUCGACAUCUUGAACGCACAUGGCGGCCUCGGGCACUCUCGGGGCCGCGCCCGUCUGAGGGUCGGUUUUGCAUUCGAAUCGCGAGCAUCGUCUCGCGCUCUGCCUGUCGCGCUGGGCUCCUGAGCCUGGCUCGUCGGACUAAAACGAGAUUGGGGUUCACAGUCGUGAACGCGCGUGCUCGUGCGUGCGUGUCGCGCUUGGCGCGCAGACGCAUGCCGUAUAGGAAGCCUGAGCACGGACGGUCACUCGCGGUUGCCAGAAAGACCAACGAGCGAGCCUCCGCGCGUCAAGCUGCCGAGCGUUUGAGCGCUGUGCGCGCGCGCACGCACGCGUCAUCUUUUGCUUUUCGACCUCAGAUCGGACGCGAUUACCCGCUGAAUUUAAGCAUAUCACUAAGCGGAGGAGAAGAAACUAACAAGGAUUCCCGUAGGAAGGGCUAGUGAACGAGGAAGAGCCCAACG